rnacentral:tRNA from 1 species
CACGCUUGAGCUAAGAGCAGUAUAUGAAAGACAGGGCAGCAUCUGAACCACGUACACAGCUUUAUUGGAAGGCCUGUGAGAACAGAUAUUUUUGUGCGUAGAAAGCAAGUAGGUGCCGCAGGCAGUGAGUGGGAGGUCAUAAAUAAGAGCCUAUUUCCUAUACCAGAUCUGAAGCUUCCUCUCCCGUUUGAUCUUUUUCUGAAGCUGCAGGAUUCCGUACAGCAAAGCUUCAGCAGUGGGUGGGCAACCUGGCACGUAGAUGUCCACGGGUACGAUGCGGUCGCAGCCCCUCACCACGGAGUAGGAGUAGUGGUAAUAACCCCCACCAUUGGCACAGCUUCCCAUGGAGACCACGUAGCGAGGCUCCGGCAUCUGGUCGUAGACCUUCCGCAGGGCUGGAGCCAUUUUGUUUGUCAGGGUGCCCGCCACGAUCAUGACGUCGGCUUGGCGGGGGCUCGCUCGGAACACCACCCCGAAGCGGUCCAUGUCGUAGCGUGGAGCUGCCAUGUGCAUCAUCUCCACAGCACAGCAUGCCAGGCCGAACGUCAUCGGCCACAGGGAGCUCCUCCGUGCCCAGUUGAUCAGGUCGUCGAGCUUGGUGACGAUGUAUUCCCCCCUGCUGGUGGGGACGUAGGACUUCUUCGGGACGACAGCUGAGCUCUUUGGCUGCGCUUGGAUGGAGCUGUCUGCAUGCUGGGCUGCGGAUGUCUGAUGGAGCAGCUGAGUGGGAGGGGUCGUCACCGCGCCGGGCCGCCAGCCCAGCACGGCGCGCCGCGGGAGGCCGAGACGGCGCAGCGCCGCCAUAUCCCGCAGCCCUUCAGGGGACCUCUGGCCGCGGUACGGCGCACACAACGCUCCGGCAGCGCGCGGUCCGCGGCCUCAACGCGCCGGUAGGAAACGGGGGCGGCGCGGAGGGUUCCGCCGGGCGCGGGGCAGCGGCAAAGAGAAGGCGGACGGCGGCUGCGUAUCCGCGGUCCCGGUGCGGUGCCGGUGCGGUGCCGAGCGGAGCGCCCGCUCCGAGCACAUAAAAAAAACUAGAAACAAAAAACCAAGCGGUCGUCCCUGGGUGGGCUCGAACCACCAACCUUUCGGUUAACAGCCGAACGCGCUAACCGAUUGCGCCACAGAGACCGCGCUGCCGCAGCCCCCCCGCGACCGCCGCUGUGGGAGUGCGGGAGGGCGGAGCGCUGCGGGGAACGGACGGAGCGGUGCGGGGCGCGACCGCCUCCUCCGCCCCGCGCGGACCCCCCUGCAGC